rnacentral:rRNA from 1 species
GACGAACGCUGGCGGCGUGCUUAACACAUGCAAGUCGAACGAUGAUCCCGGAGCUUGCUCCGGUGGAUUAGUGGCGAACGGGUGAGUAACACGUGAGUAACCUGCCCUUGACUCUGGGAUAACUGCGGGAAACUGUAGCUAAUACCGGAUACGACCCUCGGCGGCAUCGCCAGGGGGUGGAAAGAAUCUCGGUCAAGGAUGGACUCGCGGCCUAUCAGCUAGUUGGUGAGGUAACGGCUCACCAAGGCGACGACGGGUAGCCGGCCUGAGAGGGUGACCGGCCACACUGGGACUGAGACACGGCCCAGACUCCUCCGGGAGGCAGCAGUGGGGAAUAUUGCACAAUGGGCGCAAGCCUGAUGCAGCAACGCCGCGUGAGGGAUGACGGCCUUCGGGUUGUAAACCUCUUCUAGUAGGGAAGAAGCGAAAGUGACGGUACCUGCAGAAAAAGCACCGGCUAACUACGUGCCAGCCGCCGCCGUAAUAC